rnacentral:tRNA from 1 species
ACCUGGCUGGCUCAGUCAGUAGAGCAUGCGACUUCCGAUCUUGGGUUUGUGAGUUCAAAGCCCACGUUGGGUG